rnacentral:rRNA from 1 species
UACGUAGGGACCAAGCGUUGUUCGGAUUUACUGGGCGUAAAGGGCGCGUAGGCGGCGCUGUAAGUCACUUGUGAAAUCUCCGGGCUUAACUCGGAACGGUCAAGUGAUACUGCAGUGCUAGAGUGCAGAAAGGGCAAUCGGAAUUCUUGGUGUAGCGGUGAAAUGCGUAGAUAUCAGGAGGAACACCUGUGGUGUAGACAGCUUACUGGACCAUUUCUGACGCUGAGACACGAAAGCGUGGGUAGCAAACAGG